GGAGGGGUGGCGGAGUGGUUGAUCGCUCCGGUCUUGAAAACCGGCAAGCCGCAAGGCUUCGAGGGUUCGAAUCCCUCCCCCUCCGCCA
rnacentral:tRNA from 1 species